rnacentral:rRNA from 1 species
CCUACGGGGGGCAGCAGUGGGGAAUUUUGCGCAAUGCUCGGAAGAGUGACGCAGCGACGCCGCGUGAAUGACGAAGGCCUUCGGGUCGUAAAGUUCUUUCGACAGGGAAGAAAAUGCCUAUAAGUAACAGCGGAUGUAUUGACGGUACCUGUAUAAGCAGCCCCGGCUAACUCCGUGCCAGCAGCCGCGGUAAUACGGAGGGGGCUAGCGUUGUUCGGGGUGACUGGGCGUAAAGGGCACGUAGGCUGUGUUGUAAGUCAUUAGUCAAAGACUAGAGCUCAACUUUAGUAAGGCUAGUGAUACUAUAAUACUAGAGUAUCAGAGAGGAGUGCAGAACUACUGGUGUAGCGGUGAAAUGCGUAGAUAUCAGGAGGAAUACCGUUAGCGAAGGCGGCAAUCUGGCUGGAUACUGACGCUGAGGUGCGAAAGCGUGGGUAGCAAACAGGAUUAGAUACCCUAGUAGUC